rnacentral:rRNA from 1 species
GCCUAACACAUGCAAGUCGAGCGGCAGCACAAGUGAGUUACUCAUGAGGCGGCGAGUGGCGGACGGGUGAGUAAUGCCUAGGGAUCUGCCCAGUCGAGGGUGGAUAACAGUUGGAAACUGACUGCUAAUACCUGCAUUACUGCCCUACGAGGGUGAAAGAGAGGGGACCUUCGGGCCUCUCAGCGAUUGGAUGAACCUAGGUGAGGAUUAAGCUAAGUUGGUGAGAGUAAAUGGCUCACCAAUGCGACGAUCCCUAGCUGUUUCUGAGANGUGAUGAUCAGCCACACUUGGGACUGAAGACACUGGCCCAGACUCCUACGGGAGNGCAGCGGUUGGGGAAUAUUGCACAAUGGGGUGAAACCCUNGAUUGCAGCCAUGCCGCGUGUGUUGAAGAAGGCCUUCGGGUCUGUAAAGCACUUUCAGUAGGGAGGCAAAGGUUGUAAAGUUAAUACCUUGCAUGGCUGUGACGUUACCUACAGAAGAAGGACCGGUAACUCCGUGC